GAAAAGUCUUCAUUGUCUGCAGCAAAUCCUGGGCAUCUCAAGCAAAUAACAUUUACUGCAGCUGACCUUCCCUCCACACCACCUCCCUUUAAGGUACCCUUUGUGGAGUUGUGAUGUUUGGCACAACAGAGAGACGUGGUGAUUUAUGCAUUGGAAGACUAAGGAAAUCUGGAAAGUCUUCCCAUUUUUCCAAACGCCCAUCUCUGUCAGCUCAUAUAUUGUAAUCACAGCUACUUCCUUCAGCACUGGUGGUAGAGGAUAGUCUUUUACCUGUGCCUUCCUACAAAUGGAAGGAGCAGACUUCUGCUAGCAAAAAUUGCAGCCAGUGUCACCAUUCCAUAGGAGAACAUGAAGAUGAGCAAGGCUAUUCUCAUGGAAAUAUGUGUUUGCAUAAGUAUCGACAUCAGAAGACUCUACACAGUUUCCUCACAGAGCACCUCAUGGAUUUGGGAGUCAUUCAGCCAGCAAAAAGAAAUGUGCCAUGAAAAGUAGGUAACCAGCCACACUGAGAGAGCAGCAGAUGGUGCAUCCAUGAAGCAAUUGUCACUGCAAAGAGCCUGGCAUGUUCUGCAGGCUGAAAUGUAUCUGCCUCAUUAAUGAAGCAAGCACUUGGGUAGGGAUGUCUAUGAAAAUCUAUAUAUACUUGCGAAUAAGUUGUAAACAGGCUGCAAGGUUGAUAUCUGGGAUGUAAAGAAGACGAUGGAAAAAGGACGGGAAGAAGAGCCAGCUGUAGGUAUCUUAAUCCUACUUCUCUUGCUGGUCCUAACCCUGGCAGAAACUCCUGGGCAGCUCAAAGCAGGUUUUGACUCCAAGGCACAGGGCAUUAGGGAUGGUGACCCAGGGGAAAGGAUUUCCAUGGAGGUGGAAUGCAGUUGGGGCUCACCUGCAUAAGAACAGCUCUGCUGAUUUGCCAGCAUCCCCUUUGGGGGCUCCAGGGGAUGAAGGGCUGGCUUCCCUGGAGGGCUGUGAAACCCAUUCACCUGGAUAACCCCCCUCAAGAAAUGGAUAGUUCACGAACAGGCUAUAGCUUGGCCUUUGAGGAGCAUGCUGAGAUGCCUCCAAGCUCUGCACAUAAUCGACAAACCCAUGACACAGCUCAUGGUCUCACAUACGGUUCUGCACAGAGAUGAGUCCCCACAUGAGAUCAAUUGGGCAAGGCGCUGUGCGCAGAGGUGAAGCAGAGUGGUCUGCAAGGAUCCAGUGCUCCUGGGAUGACCUGCUGGAUGCAAACAUACCACCGAAACUUCAUAUGCAUUAUUAUGGGGUUUUUAUAAUACUUCCUGAGACAAGAAUUGACCCAAGAACUCACAAGAGUAAUCUGAAAUCAGAUAUGGAUUCAAUGCACCUUCACUCUCCCUUGCAAACGCCAGCUUGACUGAGUCAGUGCCCAGCCGUCUCCCUGCACACUGGUACAGGGUGGGGGAGAACCAGGCUUGUCAUCUGCAUGCUCAGUCCCCUGAUGUGACAAGACGUAUUUGCCUUUAACCCCGGCAAAGGUUUCACCUGCUCCCACUGCUUCUUGAUAAAACAGUCAGCGCAUGAAACCAUCGCCACGGAUAUGAACAGAUGCAGAGAGGAGAAUGGGAACAACAGCAAACAUUAUGUUCCUCCCAGAGCAGUGCUCCUGUCGCUGCCCGUGCCACAUCUGUGUUUUUGAAGGGAAAUGUCAUAACAUUGCUAAUCAAUAAGAAGAGUGACAGGACCAUUUGUCAAGAGCGAGCCAGCACUGCAGCUGUUGUAGUCAUCCUCUCCCUGGGCUUUGCGACGAGAAGCCAAGGGAAGGACCUGAUUAUUUGCCUGCGGCAGCCCCCGCGCGCUCGCGGGCAGCCAGUGUGCGAGGGCAGGUCCGGCCAGCUUGCUAAGGCGCUGCGCCAGCCUUGCAGCAGUUGGGCUGAGCGAGCGGGCAAAAAGCCUGGCAGGAAGUAUAGAGUUUCGAACAAUGGGAUGUAAAAGACACCAGACACCCUGCAAGGGAGAGACGGUCCUGGGUGUUGGAGGAGUCUGUUGACCUUUAAUCCUGAGACCGCUGUUGCAUAUGCAUCACGUUUGAACUGCAGAUGUUCCUCGCUGCUCCGCCGGUCAGGGCGACAAGUGGCUGAUCUUACAGAGGAGGAGGCAGGGCUCAGAGAAAACUUAAUGAAGACUUUAAGCUGUGGGUUGCAAUUAAACCGGCCCAGCAGUGUAAGCAUAGUGGGGGUCGCUAAGCUCCUGCAGCUGCUCCGCCUGCAGUAAUGGCUUAGAGCUAAUGUCCGCGCUGAUAGGCACGGCUCUCCUCCACAAUGAGAGCAGUCGUGCAUGCUGGGGGGCUGUUGGCAGAGGUGACAAAACUGAGAUGCCCUUUCCCACCCCAUCAAAAUAAUUCUUAAAUUAGGAAAUUUAUCUUAAUCUGAUGGUCUAUCUGUGGGUUGCACUGUCACGGAUAAUGCUUCACCACUUUCCCCUAGACAGCUCUGGCCAGUAAAUAGAAAACGAAUAAAUAUCGAUAUAGUGAGGCACAGGGAAACAGCCUUUCUUUUUCAGACCAUGACCUGCCUUUUCAUAGGCAGAGUUUGGCCCUCAAUGUGGUCCCCCCAAGGAAAGAAAGCUGCCUCCUCAAAAGAGAGAUCUGCUUCUCUGUUCCCGAAAACAGCCAAUUAAAAUAAAAUCCACAUGUCACUUAUGGUGUCUGUACCAACUGUCAGGAUGCCGACAGGCUUAAAAUGAUACAGGCUCGAGCCUGGAUUAGACUUCUGAACUAUCUCCACCCAGGUACAAAUAUAAUAUUGCUCCCACGCAAGGUUCCUUAGUUCACCAGUAAAUGCUGUUUCACUAACAGCAAGGACCAGGAUCCUCACCCAGUGUCACCUUAGCGGCAGCUAAUGGCACCUGAAGGUUGUGUCCUGACAUUCAGGUUCAGACCCUGAUGCUGGAGCUCAGCAAAGUAUAGCCAAACUCUUUCUUUUGUAACCAAAGUUUCUUCCAAGUGAAAACUGCCAUUUUUCUCUUAUUCACAGUAUUUUGAAAAAAAAUUGUCAGUUCUGGCAGUAUUCAGUUUCCAGAACUUCUUGUCCCAAAACAAAGCAUUCCCAUAAGGUUGAAGUGGCCCAUGUGAACAUUUCUGGAAUGGAAUCUUUUCAGUUCUCAUUUGGAAAUGAUUUUUUCCCACAUGCAAUUCAUUGUUAUUAUGUUCACACAAAAACACAUCGACAAGCUUUCAAAGGGCAAACUUGGACCAAAAAUGGUUUGAUUUCAUAACAGCGGAAAGUUUUGAUUGACCCAAAGUAACAUUUUAUCGGACCUCCAUUUCGCACAGAAUUUCGCUUGCACGCAAAUGUUUCCAUUGUGUUCGGGAACCAGGAAAAUAUAUUUCCACACAUGGAAAGAUCUGGUUUACCUUGAUCUCACGAGUCCUCCCUGUAGCUGGUUCUCCCUCCCUGGUUCUCCUGCUCAGGCUAGAAGCUGGCAAGGCUUUGGCACUGCCCAUCACAACAGCCAUCACUGGAUUUCACCCCCUUGCAAAACCACUAGCCUUGGGUUGCUGGCCAUCGCAGCCUCCACCAAGGGCGAAUUCAUUAAAGCCGGUAGGUCUGAUCAGAAUGCACGAAGCGUUACAGAAAUGGCCAGGCUUGAGAGAUAAUUCGUCAAAGUAUUUGUCGUUUCUCAUCUUUUUAAACAUGCUGCAGAUCUUCAGGCAUCUGAAUUCUGGCCCAGCGGUCCAAGAAGCGGUCAUAUAAAGAGAUGAAAUUUUGAAGAAAAGGGGUAGGUCAAGAAGGUUGAAUUCAUUUUAAGGAAUUAUAUAGCUUUCAUAACAAUAUAUCUACUGCCUGUAAUUUAUAACCCAGGCUGCUGUAAUGCUCCUGUAUGCCUGUUUGUUUCUGCGGUUCCAGUUCAGUGGAGAAUUUCAGCAUACACUUUGAUUGACAGGGCAGAUGGUAACAUUGUUUGCCUUUAAUCUAAACCUAUUAUUUAAUAUAUCUGUUAGUUUUAUUCUUUUUUAACAGAGUACUAGUGACUAUAAAGUUUAAUUGACCUUUUUUGCCAAAAAAUAAAUCGUUGCUGGUUUCAGUGGGGAUUCUACUUUUAUCUGCCAAUAAAAAGCUGAAGGAAACCUCUUAACUACA